GCAGAAGUCUGGAGAGUCACCUGAUUAGUGAGAGUCGGUCUUCUAAGCCACUUCCGCCCUAACCUAGUUGCCAUAGUAACAGAGCCUCCAGAGGAGGGCCAGGGGAAGGAGUUUGGAACCAGCUGAGUCGGAAUGGAUGGGUCUGUCUGGCCCAGUGUUCCCAUUCACGUACAAAAAAAGCCGAGCUUUAUGGUUGAGAGGGGAGCCGCCACCGAGAGGAUUCCUGAGACCAGAGAUCCAUCCGGCAGUCCACCAGUUCUUCAACAAUCGACUCAGACCCGCAAGUCCACGACACUUCUAGCUUCUAGUACUAGUAAGCUUAGCCACAAAGUGUGUCAACCACCCAGGAGACUCACCUCUGCGGGUGGGAUGCUUAUGUUCUGCCUAGAAAUCCUUUACUGCUUGUGACGAAUUCUUGCUUAGCCAUAUUUCUGCUGGGGCAGGAAUCCUUUCUUCAAAAAGACUUCGCUCAUCUCUCUGGGAUUCUUGAAUUAGGAACCUUGCCUCUACCACCAUCCAGUUUAUUCUAUUGUGUAGCCUUUGUCUGUUUGGGGAGAGGUACUCAUCAUGUACUUCGGUCUGCCUCAGCUCGCCAAGUGCUGGGAUUACAGGUAUGCGUGUGCAUAUGUGUGCGCCUGAAGAGGUCAGAAGUUAGCCUCAAGUAUUGUUCAUCAGGAGCCGUCCACCACGUGUUUUGAGACAGGGGCUCUCAUUAGCCUGGAACUUAUCAAGUAGGGCGAGAAUGGCCAGCCUGUGAACCCUAAGGAUCCUGUCUCUGCUUUCCUAGCACUUGGAUUAAAGGUUGGACAACAACAUGGAGAAAUUCUUCUGCUCAAAAUCAUCUGAUAGAGACUACAAAUCUCCCUGAGUUAAAAAAAAAACUGUCAAAAACUCAAAAACAUGUAUUUAACAGGCUUCUUGCCCCUGGAAGACAGAGAACCCAGGAAGGAUAUCUCCAAAGGGACCACAGUAGACAGCAAAUCCAUGCCAUUGCCUUGCAAUGAGAAUAUUUUAAAAGCAUGAACGUAGGCAAGUCACUUCCUUCCCCAUCAAAAGGCACAGUAAAGAAGAUACUAUAGGUUAUUACGUGGAGCAGCUCAAACUGCUUGUCCCUAUGACAGAAAGUUCAGUACUUCUCCAGGACCAGAUAAUCACAUCAACAGUCAACUAGGACUAAUGCCUAUGUCAUUGGAUAAACUGUGAUGGAGGUCCAGCAUGGGUUACCUUGCAGCCACCAGCAUUCAAGAAAUGACUUUGACAAAUGGCAAGAAAUAUUUGUGACUAAACAGUAAGACAAAACUGGAUUUAGAGCUGUAUCUAUAGCAUGUUCUUGACUUUAUAUAAUAUGUACUAAUAGAAGUAACAUGGGCGGUGGUGGGUCACACCUUUAAUCCCAGCACUCGGGAGGCAGAGGCAGGUGGAUCUCUGUGUGUUUGAGGCCAGCCUGGUCUACAGAGUGAGUUCCAGAACAUCUAGGGCUGUAACACAGAGAAACCUGGCUUGGGGGGUGUGGUGGGGGAAGUAACCACCAGAUAGCUAAUUUACCUUAUUUUCUUUCUGAUUACCUCUACUUUUCAAGAUUCCCAUAAUUCCAAGUUCCUAUGAACUGGAACUCCCAGACUGGUCUCCAACUCAAUAGAUCCAACUGCCUCUGCCUCCAGAGUCCCUACCACUGCCCUGCUAAGGACACCUUGAGUAGCAUGCUCUUUCUCCCUCAUUUUCUCCAACUAUAGAUAAGGCGUGUGGGAUGCUUUGCCUUGUAUGGGGAAAGCAGUGGUGUGAUUUUAAUUCUGCCCCUGGUUCACUGAAGGCCUCAAUUCUUCUUGAAGGAGGACCUUCAAGAAGGAAAACCAGGCCCAUUGGAGUUCCAGCCUUGUCCACAAAGUGAGUUCCAGGACAGCCAGAGCUAUACUCAGAGAAGCUGUCUCAAA